GAUGGUGCGGGCUGAGACGGCAAGAGGAUCCUUCAGUGCCUCUCCCCUUUCACUGGACCUUUCAUUGGGCUGGUUUGUAACGAGGUCCCAGCUUUCCCUCAGCUCCAGGCUUCCGUGGAAGCUACUAUGACUUUGAAUUAACCGACUCUGCAACGUUUAGGAAGCUGCAGGUGAAAGACAAAAGGACCUUGAGAACAGUAUGCAGAGGCAGCUCCGGUCCCUUUGCCAGGAGGACAGGUUAAUUAAUCACCGUAACUAUUCUUGGACCCAGGACAACUGAUGUUUGUUCUGUGGAUGCCGCUCCCUGGAAGCACAGGGGAGUGAACAAAGCUGGAUCACAGCAAAGUCUUCCCCAGACUUGGGAGCCCAACUUGAAGAGCCUGCCCUUGAACUCCUGCCUAUUGAAUUGAAAAGGACACACACUGGGUAGCUGCCACGUACAGACCUUGGGCCACAGAAUGAGAUGCAGGAAGCAGGCCUGACAAUGCCCUGUGGACUGGAGCAGAACUGCCCCAGCCAGCAUGCAGACCCCUGAGCAAGAAAAGCAAACACUUGUGGUGAUAAGAAGAUCAAAGCUUGGGGAAAUUUACUAGCAAUCUUACCGCUGGGGACACGGGUUCAACCCCUGGUCUGGGAGG